rnacentral:rRNA from 1 species
GACGAACGCUGGCGGCGUGCUUAACACAUGCAAGUCGAACGAAGAGCGAUGGAAGCUUGCUUCUAUCAAUCUUAGUGGCGAACGGGUGAGUAACGCGUAAUCAACCUGCCCUUCAGAGGGGGACAACAGUUGGAAACGACUGCUAAUACCGCAUACGAUCUGACCUCGGCAUCGAGGAUAGAUGAAAGGUGGCCUCUAUUUAUAAGCUAUCACUGAAGGAGGGGAUUGCGUCUGAUUAGCUAGUUGGAGGGGUAACGGCCCACCAAGGCGAUGAUCAGUAGCCGGUCUGAGAGGAUGAACGGCCACAUUGGGACUGAGACACGGCCCAGACUCCUACGGGAGGCAGCAGUGGGGAAUCUUCCGCGAUGGACGAGAGUUUGACGGAGCAACGCCGCGUGAGUGAUGACGGCCUUCGGGUUGUAAAGCUCUGUUAAUCGGGACGAAAGGCCUUCUUGCGAAUAGUUAGAAGGAUGACGGUAC